AUUGAACGCUUGCGGCAGGCCUAACACAUGCAAGUCGCACGAGUGGCCGACGGGUGAGUAAUGUCUGGGAAACUGCCUGCUGGAGGGGGAUAACUACUGGAAACGGUAGCUAAUACCGCAUACCAUCAGAUGUGCCCAGAUGGGAUUAGCUUGUCGGUGGGGUAAAGGCUCACCUAGGCGACGAUCCCUAGCUGGUCUGAGAGGAUGACCGGCCAAACUGGAACUGAGACAAGGUCCAGACCCCUACGAGAGGCAGCAGUGGGGAAUAUUGCACAAUGGGCGCAAGCCUGAUGCAGCCAUGCCGCGUGUAUGAAGAAGGCCUUCGGGUUGUAAAGUACUUUCAGCGGGGAGGCGUUACCCGCAGAAGAAGCACCGGCGAACGCCGUGCCAGCAGCCGCGGUAAUUC
rnacentral:rRNA from 1 species